rnacentral:rRNA from 1 species
AUACGGAGGAUCCGAGCGUUAUCCGGAUUUAUUGGGUUUAAAGGGUGCGCAGGCGGCCAUUUAAGUCAGCGGUUAAAUCGUGGGGCUCAACCCCAUUCUGCCGUUGAUACUGGGUGGCUUGAUUGCGGUCGAGGUUGGCGGAAUUCGUUGUGUAGCGGUGAAAUGCAUAGAUAUGACGAAGAACACCGAUUGCGUAGGCAGCUGGCCAGACCGCAAAUGACGCUCAUGCACGAAAGUGCGGGGAUCGAACAGGAUUAGAUACCCUGGUAGUCCGCACAGUAAACGAUGAAUACUUGUUUUCGGCGAUAUAAUGUCGGAGGCAAAGCGAAAGCGAUAAGUAUUCCACCUGGGGAGUACGCCGGCAACGGUGAGACUCAAAUGAAUUGACGGGG